rnacentral:tRNA from 1 species
GGUAGCGUAGUGGUUAAGCACUUGGCUGCUAACCGAAAUGUUGGUGGUUCAAACCCACCAGCCA